ACGACGUUUCCGCGUCUUCGUCAACGUAACCGACACGUUUCUCUGUUUCUCCAAGAACGUCGCCUCUCACUUCAAUCCACCCGCCGUCAUCAACCGUAUCCCAAUCCGGAACGCUCGAAAACUCAUCUCCGGCGAGUUGCUUGAUUCUCUCAGCCGGUGAAUCCCAAAAAUCAGAGUAAUCAGCAAAAGGGUCAGUGACUUUUCGAGUCUUCGCAUGAACUCCAGAACCGUUGGUCCAACACAGUGCUCGUGCUCUGCAAACGAGACUCUCCGUCGUCGAGGAAAGGAUGUGGAUGUUUAAGCAACUCCUCCACCGUCCACCUCUGUUUCGGAUCAUUCUCCAAACAACUCACCAGAAAGUCCUUACCUUUCUCCGAUAUAACCUCCGGCGACUCGCCGGGAAUCUAAUCUUAUACAUUGCGGUAACGACGUCGUUUAGCUCCGGCCAAGAGGUCGAGCCAGUCAUCAUCUCGUGAACCCGGAUAAUCCAGAGUUUGAAACCGGUUUAGCGCAACCCAUAUCAGCGAUUUUGCAAACGACGCCGUUCUCUUCGACCAGCACGUUCUGGCUCUUCAAGUCGCAGUGUCAAAUUUAAUUGAAAUUAUUGAUAGAAAACUUCUUAAUUCUAGACGGCAGUGAUUGAAAGAAAAAAAAAAUUCAUGACAUGUCUUCACGGCUUAUCAGUCUAUACCAGUAUCUCAUGUUGAGACGCCUCUUGAUUCUUUCUGUAAUGUGUUUCAGGUUGCAAUAAAUGGACGUGUUUUAGGGGAAGGAGUUGGAUCAACAUGGGAGAAAGCUAGAGUGCAUGCUGCUGAGAGAGCACUGGGUAAUGUGAGACCAUUGCUUCAACGACAAGUAUCUUCAAGAUCGUUCGGUGGGAUGUCAAACAAGCGUCUGAAGCCAAACUUUCAACGGUCCAUGCAACGGAUGGCAUCUUCAGGAAGAUCCUCUUAACAAAAAUCAUACAUUCUGAGUAGAAGCUACACAGCUUGAGGGGCAAAGAGAAGACCUAAGCAUGCUUGUUUGGCUUCUUCUCAGGCUGUAAGUUACUCAGUAGAUAUCAGUAAACUGUUUAGGCUUUGCCUGGUUCUAAGUUUUAUCAAAUGAGUAGCCAACAUAUUAUUAUUUUGUGAGAAAAAAAAAUUGCACA